UAAGUAGAUAGUGAAAGCGUGUGGCUCAACCAUACUCACAUUAUCUAAACUGCUAAGCUAGAGAAUGAGAGAGGUACCUGGAAUUCCCUGUGUAGGAGUGAAAUCCGUAGAUAUAGGGAGGAACACCGAUGGCGUAGGCAGGGUACUGGCUCAUUUCUGACACUAAGGCACGAAAGCGUGGGUAGCAAACGGGAUUAGAUACCCCGGUAGUCCACGCCGUAAACUAUGGAUGCUA
rnacentral:rRNA from 1 species